UUGUGGAGGACCCACGGGGGGACACACCUCAAAGAACAGUUGUUAUUGCACAGGGUGAGUAACUUCCUUUUCUUCUUCGGGUGAUGUCCCCAUGUGUCCUCCACUAUUGGUGAUUACAAAGCUGUGCCCUAUGUGGAUGGGGGGAAUCAGAGUCACUGCUUGGACGCUGUAGCCACCACCAUAUCUGUUGCCAGUUGAGGCAUUAGGCAUAGUGCCUGGCAAAGGUGUGGUCUGAUGACCAUUGGUUGGUCGAUAAAAUGUCCUUAAGGGCCACAUUGCUCAGGAAAUCCGUGGAGGUUGCAGUAGCAUGAGUGGAAUGUGCUCUUGGUGGGACUGUCAAUGUUUUGUUGCGGAGGGAAUGGCAUCCUGGUAUAUGUGAUGAUAUCCAUUUGGAGAUACAUUGAAUGGAAAUUGUUGUGCCCUUCGAAAAUGCUGUGAUGGAUAUGAAGAGGCGUGGGGACUUCCGAAAUGAUAGAGUUCUAGCUAUAUAAAAAGCCUGAGUUCUGUGAAUGUUCAGGGUAUGGAGCAUAGCAUCCCUGCGGGAUGCGUGAGGUUUAGGAAAAAAUGUUGAUAAUAUUAUGGGCUCGUUGACAUGGAAGGCCAUGCUGACCUUGGGUAGAGAUGUUGGGUGCGGUUGCAAGGUCACUUUGUCCUUGGUGAAGACUAUAUGGUGGUCUGACCAUCAGGGCUCCUAUCUCGCUAACCCUCCUUACUGAGGUAAUAGCUGUCAAGAAUAGUACCAUCAUUAGAAGAACGAGAGUGGACAAGUCGCCAUGGGCUCGAAAGGAGGUCUCAUGAGACCGUCUAGAACUAAGUUCAAGUCCCAGGUGAGGGCUGGGGCUCUAUGCAGAGGGUAGAGAUUCUGGAGGCCUUUCAGGAACCUCCUGGUUGCAGGGUAUGUGAAGACAGAUGAUCUUGACGGAGGAGACUGAUAAGCCUCCAGUUUUGAGGUGGAAUAUAUAGUCAAGGACACGAUUGAGUGGUGUACUAUGAGAAUCAACUUGGGCUUGCUGGCACCAAGAGGAGAACCGCUUCCAUUUCUCCAGGUAAGUGGCUCUGGUGGACAGCGUUCUGCUGUGUAGAAGAAUAGGGAUUCUGAUCUGUGGAACCAGACAGGAGCUAGGUGUGCAGGGGAAGAGUGUGGUGUUGGGGGUGGAGGAGUUUGAUCCCAGCCUGGAAGAGGAUGUCAUGACAGGAUGGAAGAGGAUAAGUUGGUGUGAUGGACAUCGAGUGUAGGUAUGGAGACCAGGUUUGUCUGGCCCAGGAUGGGGCUAUCAAGAUGACUCGAGCUCUGUUGGCCUGGAUCUUGUGUAGUAUUAUGGGAUUGAGUGGGAUGGGUGGGAAGGCAUAGUGUAGCAGCUCAUUCCAGUGGGUUAGGAAUGCAUCGCCCAGGGAUCCCUAGCCCAGUCCCACCCGGGAGCAGAAGCUUGGUGUUGUUGGGGGUUGCAAAAAGGUCUAUUGAUGGAUAUCCCCAGCGGUGAAAGAUGGAGGCAAGCAUUGCUGGGUGUAGUUCCCAUUCAUGGUCGAUGGAAAAAUUGUGGCUCAGGACAUCCGCUCUGACAUUGUUCACUCCAGGUAAGUAUGAUGUUAUCAGAGUGACCCUGUGAUGAAUGCACCAGUUCCAAAGGUGGAUUGCUUCCACACUCAGUGAUUGCAACCCUACCUGCCUGUUUAUAUAAAACAUGGUUGUCAUGUUGUUCAUAAAUAUGCAAAUGACAAGGUUGGUGAUCAUGGGGGUGCAGUGGCUGCAUGCAUUUCUCAUGGUUCUGAGUUUGAGGAGGUUGAUAUGCAGUACAGUUUUGAGUGGGAACCAUCUGCCCUGAAUAGCAUGCUGGUGCAGGUGUGCACCCCAGCCCAGGAGAGAGGCAUCCGUAAUAAUGUGUACUGAUGGCUCAGGUUGGGGGAAGGGUACCCCUGCUAGGAGAUUGCUGAGUAGUGUCCACCAUUUGAGAGAGUCCAGCACCCUCUUGGGAACAGUAACCUGUUUGUGUAGGGGACGACGAAAUGGCGUAUAGACUUAUGCUAACCAGUGUUGCAGGGCACGGAAAUGGAGGCGUGCAUAUUGGAUGAAGAAAGUAGUGUCGGCCAUGUGGCCCAACAAUUGGAGGCAGGUAAGUACUGCAGUGGAAGGGCUUGUGGUUAACAUGGCUACGAGAUUGCAUAGUGCAAUGAAGCGGUGAUGUGGAAGAUAAGCUCGGGCAGCUAAUGGAUCAAGAUGGGCCCCAAUGAACUCUAUGCCCUGUGCGGGAUUCAGAGUUGAUUUCUGUUUGUUUAUCAGGAGGCCCAGAUGAUUGAACAGGUGUCUGGUUUUCAAAAACAUGUUGGUCGUUUCCUCGUGGGACCGGCCUUUUAUAAGGUAGUCGUCUAAGUAUGGAAAAAUCAUGAUCCCCUGCUGGUGGAGGUAGGCAGUGACUACAGCAAGGACCUUUGAGAAUACCCAGGGGCAGAAGACAAUCCAAAAGGUAGGACUCUGUACUGGAAGUGGUCAUCGCCUGCCAUGAAUCGAAGGUACCGUCUGUGUGAUGGAUGUAUGGCGAUGUGAAAGUAUGGGUCCUGUAGGUCAAGGGCUGCGAACCUGUCCCCUUCAUCUAGUGCCAGUAUAAUUGAAGCCAAAGUUACCAUCUUGAAUCGUGGCUUCCGCAGGAAUUUGUUUUGCUUGCGGAGAUCCAGUAUGGGUCCCCAGCCCUCUGUCCGCUUCUGAGUCAGAAAGUAUUUGGAAUAAAAUCCCCUUCCCCGAAAUGCAUCUGGAACCCUCUCUAUUGCUCCUAGAUGGGGGAGGUGAUCGAUUUCUUGUCUGAGAGGGAUCUUGUGGGAGGGGUCCCUGAAGAGGGAUGGGGAACGGGAAAAAGUAGGGGGAAGCAAUGUAAAGGGGGUGACAUUCUGCAUGGGUGAUUUCUAGCACCCACUGAUCUGAUGUUAUGGAGUCCCAUUGGUGGUAAAAGGGAUGGAGUCUGUGGGUGAACAGAUGGUGUUGGUUUGUUGUCAGUGGAUGGACAGGGAGGUCGGGUAGUCCCUUGACCAAAUUUUCAAAUCUGCUGCUUAGUUGCCUGGCAACCCAAGGAGCGAGAUUGGGGUGGGCGCUUCCUGUGGGAUCAUUGCCUGGGCCAGUUGUACUCAUAAGGCUUCUGCUCUGUGCAGUUGUAAUAACUAUCUUUAUUUCUGUUACACUGGGUAUAAUAUUUUCCAUGGUAUGGAGGGCUGUACAUGCCAUCUGUCCGAAGUCUGGUUCAAGAUUCUUUGCUGCUGUGCAGGACCUCAUCUGAAUUUGCCACAAAGAGUUUGUGCUUAUCGAAGGGGAGGUCCUCCACCUUCAACAGGAGCUUCUCAGGCACUCCCACAGAGAGGAGCCAAGAGGCUCUUUUCAUUACCACUGCUGUGGCAGUUGCUCUGGCUGCUGUUUCAGUUAUGUCCAUUGAGGAGAGCAGGGCCAUGUGGGCAAUGGUAUGCCCUUCAUGAAUAAUCAGUUUGAGAAUGGGUCUUUUAGAGUCUGGGUGGUGUUCCAUGCGCUCGGCAAGUUUAGAGUAGUUAUUAAAGUCAUGGUUCACUAAUAGUGUGGAAUAAUUAGCAAUUCUCAGCUGUAGUGUGGCUGAAGAGUAUACCUUUCUUCCAAAUAGGUCUAAUUUUUUGUGUUCCUUGUCAUUAGAUACUGAUCUGUACUGAGGAUUGGCAGUGAUUGGUUGUGGAGGAACUGGAAGAUGAAUAUUUAAUAAGGAAACACUUGAGGAAAAGGUAAGUGUAACUUGAACUAUCUCUGUGAAGAGAAUGAAAUUCUGAGGAGAACAAAGAGCUCCGUCUGUGACCGAGGGCAGUAAGCAAGGAAAUGAAGAGGAGUUGGACUGCAUGCGUGAGGCACCGAAGUGAGGACAGUGCGAGGCACUCUCCGUGCACGUGUGGCCCACUGACAGCUGCUCAAAAAAGGUCCGAUCUGCAGCUCCGGGAUGACCCGUCACCAACAGUGAAGCACCCACUGGGACGUCACCUGAAGAAGCAUAAGAAUUUACAGCAUUAUGUCUCCUGCAGAGAUCUGACUGCUGGGUCUGGAAAGCUAGGAUUUUGUACAAGGAAGCACGAUGAAUUACUCCAUUAAAUAUACAUCACUGCUCUGCUCAUUCUUUCAAAAGAACGGAUUACAGAAACCAGAAGAUGUGCUUUAAAUGCAUUAAAAUUCUAAGUAAAAUAAUGUCUUAAAUACAAUGGUCAUGUUACAUAAAUCACAUGGCUUUUCUACUCAGGCAUUCAGAAAGCAAAACUGUAUUAUUAUAUUAUUA